AAAUUGAAGAGUUUGAUCAUGGCUCAGAUUGAACGCUGGCGGCAGGCCUAACACAUGCAAGUCGAGCGGUAGCACAGAGAGCUUGCUCUCGGGUGACGAGCGGCGGACGGGUGAGUAAUGUCUGGGAAACUGCCUGAUGGAGGGGGAUAACUACUGGAAACGGUAGCUAAUACCGCAUAAUGUCGCAAGACCAAAGUGGGGGACCUUCGGGCCUCAUGCCAUCAGAUGUGCCCAGAUGGGAUUAGCUAGUAGGUGGGGUAACGGCUCACCUAGGCGACGAUCCCUAGCUGGUCUGAGAGGAUGACCAGCCACACUGGAACUGAGACACGGUCCAGACUCCUACGGGAGGCAGCAGUGGGGAAUAUUGCACAAUGGGCGCAAGCCUGAUGCAGCCAUGCCGCGUGUGUGAAGAAGGCCUUCGGGUUGUAAAGCACUUUCAGCGGGGAGGAAGGCGUUAAGGUUAAUAACCUUGGCGAUUGACGUUACCCGCAGAAGAAGCACCGGCUAACUCCGUGCCAGCAGCCGCGGUAAUACGGAGGGUGCAAGCGUUAAUCGGAAUUACUGGGCGUAAAGCGCACGCAGGCGGUCUGUCAAGUCGGAUGUGAAAUCCCCGGGCUCAACCUGGGAACUGCAUUCGAAACUGGCAGGCUAGAGUCUUGUAGAGGGGGUAGAAUUCCAGGUGUAGCGGUGAAAUGCGUAGAGAUCUGGAGGAAUACCGGUGGCGAAGGCGGCCCCCUGGACAAAGACUGACGCUCAGGUGCGAAAGCGUGGGGAGCAAACAGGAUUAGAUACCCUGGUAGUCCACGCCGUAAACGAUGUCGAUUUGGAGGUUGUGCCCUUGAGGCGUGGCUUCCGGAGCUAACGCGUUAAAUCGACCGCCUGGGGAGUACGGCCGCAAGGUUAAAACUCAAAUGAAUUGACGGGGCCCGCACAAGCGGUGGAGCAUGUGGUUUAAUUCGAUGCAACGCGAAGAACCUUACCUGGUCUUGACAUCCACAGAACUUUCCAGAGAUGGAUUGGUGCCUUCGGGAACUGUGAGACAGGUGCUGCAUGGCUGUCGUCAGCUCGUGUUGUGAAAUGUUGGGUUAAGUCCCGCAACGAGCGCAACCCUUAUCCUUUGUUGCCAGCGGUUCGGCCGGGAACUCAAAGGAGACUGCCAGUGAUAAACUGGAGGAAGGUGGGGAUGACGUCAAGUCAUCAUGGCCCUUACGACCAGGGCUACACACGUGCUACAAUGGCAUAUACAAAGAGAAGCGACCUCGCGAGAGCAAGCGGACCUCAUAAAGUAUGUCGUAGUCCGGAUUGGAGUCUGCAACUCGACUCCAUGAAGUCGGAAUCGCUAGUAAUCGUAGAUCAGAAUGCUACGGUGAAUACGUUCCCGGGCCUUGUACACACCGCCCGUCACACCAUGGGAGUGGGUUGCAAAAGAAGUAGGUAGCUUAACCUUCGGGAGGGCGCUUACCACUUUGUGAUUCAUGACUGGGGUGAAGUCGUAACAAGGUAACCGUAGGGGAACCUGCGGUUGGAUCACCUCCUUACCUUAAAGAA
rnacentral:rRNA from 1 species